rnacentral:tRNA from 1 species
GCCCUUGUAGCUCAAUUGGCAGAGCAUCCGCCUUGUAAGCGGAAGGUUGCCGGUUCGAGUCCGGCCCGGGGCUCCA